AGGGCAGUAUCUUUGUCGAAAAGAACUGCACCGGAUAUGGCGACGUGAAUGAAAAAAGAAGCAACGAAAAGAUCUGCCUUGAUCCUUGCAGGAAGGACUGGGACAGAGGG
rfam:Geobacillus sp. B4113_201601 NODE_73, whole genome shotgun sequence.